rnacentral:rRNA from 1 species
GAUGAACGCUGGCGGCGUGCCUAAUACAUGCAAGUCGAGCGAACAGACGAGGAGCUUGCUCCUCUGACGUUAGCGGCGGACGGGUGAGUAACACGUGGAUAACCUACCUAUAAGACUGGGAUAACUUCGGGAAACCGGAGCUAAUACCGGAUAAUAUAUUGAACCGCAUGGUUCAAUAGUGAAAGACGGUUUUGCUGUCACUUAUAGAUGGAUCCGCGCCGCAUUAGCUAGUUGGUAAGGUAACGGCUUACCAAGGCAACGAUGCGUAGCCGACCUGAGAGGGUGAUCGGCCACACUGGAACGGAGACACGGUCCAGACUCCUACGGGAGGCAGCAGUAGGGAAUCUUCCGCAAUGGGCGAAAGCCUGACGGAGCAACGCCGCGUGAGUGAUGAAGUGCUUCGGAUCGUAAAACUCUGUUAUUAGGGAAGAACAAAUGUGUAAGUAACUAGGCACGUCUUGACGGUACCUAAUCAGAAAGCCACGGCUAACUACGUG